rnacentral:rRNA from 1 species
UUAAGCAUAUCAAUAAGCGGAGGAAAAGAAACCAACAGGGAUUGCCCCAGUAACGGCGAGUGAAGCGGCAACAGCUCAAAUUUGAAAUCUGGCCCCCGGGCCCGAGUUGUAAUUUGUAGAGGAUGCUUCGGGCGCGGCGCCUCCCGAGUCCCCUGGAACGGGGCGCCACAGAGGGUGAGAGCCCCGUACGGUUGGACGCCUAGCCCGUGUGAAGCUCCUUCAACGAGUCGAGUAGUUUGGGAAUGCUGCUCAAAACGGGAGGUAAGUUCCUUCUAAAGCUAAAUACCGGCCAGAGACCGAUAGCGCACAAGUAGAGUGAUCGAAAGAUGAAAAGCACUUUGAAAAGAGGGUUAAAUAGCACGUGAAAUUGCUGAAAGGGAAGCGCUCGUGACCAGACGCGCGCCGGGCGGAUCAUCCAGCGUUCUCGCUGGUGUACUCCGCCCGGCGCGGGCCAGCGUCGGUUCUCGCGGGGGCAGAAGCGCCGGGAACGUGGCUCCCCCGGGAGCGUUAUAGCCCGCGCCUAAGCCCCCCCGGGGACCGAGGUCCGCGCCCUGCAAGGACGCUGGCGUAAUGGUCACCGGCGACCCGUCUUGAAACACGGACCAAGGAGUCAAGGUUUUGCGCGAGUGUCUGGGUGACAAGCCCGCACGCGUAAUGAAAGUGAACGCAGGUGGGAGCUACGGCGCACCACCGACCGAUCCUGAUGUUCUCGGAUGGAUUUGAGUAAGAGCGCAGUGCCUUGGACCCGAAAGAUGGUGAACUAUGCCUGUAUAGGGUGAAGCCAGAGGAAACUCUGGUGGAGGCUCGCAGCGGUUCUGACGUGCAAAUCGAUCGUCAAAUAUGGGCAUGGGGGCGAAAGACUAAUCGA